rnacentral:misc_RNA from 1 species
GAUGAAGAACGCAGCGAAAUGCGAUAAGUAAUGUGAAUUGCGGAAUUCAGUGAAUCAUCGAAUCUUUGAACGCACAUUGCGCCCGUCAGUAUUCUGGCGGGCAUGCCUGUUCGAGCGUCAUUACGCCCCUCAAGUCCCCUGUGGACUUGGUGUUGGGGAUCGGCGAGGCUGGUUUUCCAGCACAGCCGUCCCUUAAAUUAAUUGGCGGUCUCGCCGUGGCCCUCCUCUGCGCAGUAGUAAAACACUCGCAACAGGAGCCCGGCGCGGUCCACUGCCGUAAAACCCCCCAACUUUUUAUAGUUGACCUCGAAUCAGGUAGGACUACCCGCUGAACUUAAGCAUAUCAAUAAGCGGAGGA